GACGAACGCUGGCGGCGCGCUUAACACAUGCAAGUCGAACGGAAAGGCCUGCUUUCCCUCGUGGAUUGCGGGUACUCGAGUGGCGAACGGGUGAGUAACACGUGAGUGAUCUGCCCCCAACUUGGGUAUAAGCCUGGGAAACUGGGUCUAAUUCCCGAUAGGACUGCAGGGUGGUGCCUGUGGUGGAACACGAUUUUCUAGUGGUUGGGGAUGAGCUCGCGGCCUAUCAGCUUGUUGGUGGGGUAAUGGCCUACCAAUGCGGCGACGGGUAGCCGGCCUGAGAGGGUGGACGGCGACAUUGAGACUGAGAUACGGCCCAGACUCCUACGGGAGGCAGCAGUGGGGAAGAGUGCACAAUGGGCGGAAGCCUGAUGCAGCGACGCCGCGUGGGGGAUGACGGGCUUCGGGUGGUAAACUCCUUUCGACCGCGAGGAAGCCACCUGGUUGGAAGGGUGGUGACGGUAGUGGUAGAAGAAGCACCGGCUAACUACGUG
rnacentral:rRNA from 1 species